CCCCGCCCCUUCUCCGCCAGCCGUGUCCUCCCGGGCUCGGUGAGGAACUGUUCCUGGAGGAGCCGCGGGACGCCAAAACCAGCCAAUGGGAAGCGGCGAGACCCGGAGAUUGGCACGAAGGAUUGGAAGGAUUGAUUGGCUAUGUCAGACAAAACCAAUUGAGCCACUUUCUCCAAGCAAGUUGACAACAUGAGGAUAUUGAGGGGUUUGUAACAACUAUAACAACAACUACCUGAGUGCCAUGGGCGGAAGCAGCUUUCCUUCCCUACAGUCUUCCGCCAUGAUGCUCUGCCUCACCUCAGGCCCACAGCAAUGGAGCUGGCUGACCAUGGACUGAGAUCUCUGAAACCACGAGCCAAAAAACAGUGUCUUCUUGUAAGUUGCUUAGGACCUCACUAAGUUGCUGGCUUUGAACUUGCAAUUCUCCUGCCUCAGCCUCCUGAGCCACUGGGAUUACAGGGCUUGGAGAUAUUGCUGUGUCUGGAGAUGUUGCUGCUGCAGGACUAUCCAGUGGACCCUGAUGUACACUCGUCUAGUCCAGGUAGGAAAGAAAACUUCUUAAAUCAAAAAUACUCAGGCAGAAAUAAAAUGGAAAUUUUCUAAGCUAGCAGCUUUGGGAAGGGAAAGUAUUCUUGAGGGACCUUGUUUUUUUGUUUAUGUUUUCCCCGAUGGUUUGAAAGGAGUAAAAAAUGAUUAGAGUUGCAAGGGAGAGUGGGAAACAAGACAAGGUUGCUGAUCAAAGGGGAGAGCAAAAUGGGAAAAUGUAGCAUUUCAUACACAGCCACACAUACACUGAAAAUGUGUCCACAGCAUGAGGUCACUGGUAACUGCCGAGCAUGCGCCGGAGAUAGAUUGUUAAAUGAGAGACAAUAUGGAUGGAGCUGAGUUGUUUACCUGCCUCAAAAGGACAGAAUUCUGAGAGGUGGAAUGAAAAAAAAAUUAUUCAAUUGACUAUAAAAUGAAAAUAUGAUGGCUCCAGUGCCAGUAUAGAUCAGAACUUAUUCAUGUCAUUACACUGAACUUGACCAGUCAAAAGGUUUGAAUAUGCCAGUUUACUAUUUACUUUAUUUUAAAUAAAAAUUCUGUUUUUUAAAAAAUAAAAUUGUCUUUUAUUCAAAAGCUGGGAGAUAAAGUUCUUGAUGUCUCUAAAAAACAUUUUAAAGUUUAAUUUUUAUGAUUACAGACAGUUACUUCAGAUAGGAGAGAUUUAAGAUACCUGGAAAUAGAAAUGAAGAAUAUAAAAUGUAUGUAAUUUCAAUUCCCAUCACCUUGCAUAAGUCACAUGAUAAAGUCUUACUACAUUGUAAUUUAGACUUCUAUAGAUUAUUUAAAAGCAGAAUUUAGGAAUAUUUUUUCCCAUCAGUUUUUGAAAAUAUGAUUGAUCAAAUGAGAAUUUGGGGUUGAAGAAGGGACAGCUAUUAAAUGGAUGAUGUCCAAUUGCAACUUCCUUAAGUUUCAUUAGCUGAGGUAAAUAUGAUACAUUUAGAUCAUUUUUUAAAUCACAGUCUAUCUUAGGGAUACAUACAUAUUAUGAUGUACUGAAUUGGUAAAACCCUUUAUAUGC